UACGUAGGGUGCAAGCGUUAAUCGGAAUUACUGGGCGUAAAGCGCGUGUAGGCGGUUAUCCAAGUCGGAUGUGAAAGCCUUGAGCUCAACUCAAGAAAUGCAUUCGGUACUGGGUGACUAGAGGACCGGAGAGGAUAGUGGAAUUCCCAGUGUAGUGGUGAAAUACGUAGAGAUUGGGAAGAACACCAGUGGCGAAGGCGGCUAUCUGGACGGUUUCUGACGCUAAGACGCGAAAGCGUGGGGAGCAAACAGG
rnacentral:rRNA from 1 species